rnacentral:lncRNA from 1 species
AGCACCCAGUAGAGCUGCCCAGCCCUGGCAGCAGUGGGUGUGCUCACCUGGCUUUGAGUUCAGGCAGAUUUUGUCAUUGACACGGAGGAGAAAUCAGAUCUCCUUCAGUAAGCAGAGUAAUUAAAAAAAUGGGUCAAAAUAGAAUGGAAGUGAUAUUAUAAAGACGGAAGCUUAAGCAAGGCUUGUCCUACCGACGUUACUGGGGGUACUGGGAGGAAAUCAGGCAGCAAUAGAACUUUACCUAACUAGUGUUGCUAAAGUAAUUGGUUUCUGAUCUAGCGAGCGUUUUGAUAAUACACGUCUAUGAGAUGCUCUGCCUCCAUAGCUUAAAAAACGCUGACGAUGUUUUCCUAUUUGAGAGUUAUCUACAGAUGUCUUUAUUACACUGCUUCUCAAGCAUCUACUGACAAACAUCAGAGAAACACGUUAGAUGCUACAAUUUAAACUUUCAUCAUACCUGAAAGUAUACAUUUCUUUUUAAAGUGUAUUUUCAACAUGAAAAGAGCUAAAAAAUCACCGUUAAUAUUCCAUUGUGUGAUGUGUGUGAAAUCAAGACAAUUUGCAUAACUUCCAAAGGGAACCUCUGGAAAACAGCACUUUCGUUAUCAGUUAGAGAAGGUCUCUGCCUUUGCUGGCACAGCGUGGCGAAGAGGUACUCGAUGCAUCUUCUUGCUCUAGAAAGCUGCUUCUGGAAAAUUGCAGAUUGCAAGCAGUUUAUAAAUCACAAGCCGUUUUUUCCUUAAUCUUGCCAAUUUUAAUGAAGAAAAAACAUUUGCAUUUCAAUGUACAAAAGUCCAAUAAAACACUUCGUUUGGUUUUUUUUUUUUUUUUUUUUUGCUUUGUGACUGCUGGGUAAGGGUUGGGGCAAACUUAUUUAACAGGAAAAGUCUUCCAAUUCCCACUGUGAGCAACUUGGUGCUGAUUUGACUAGAGGAUAACGACCACCCAGAAAUAAAUAGCUAUAAAUACAUUCAUUGUUCCUAUCUCAAAAAUUAUCCACAUAGGGAAGACACAAAAUUGAAGUUAACUUAUUUGAAUCCAUUUCUUUACAAUGGGACGGGGCCGAGGUGUAGCAGAGUGACUCAGAACGGGGGGAGAGGAGGGGGGAAAUAGGGCAUAAAUUGGUCCAGUAUUGACAUUCAUGAAACAUACCAGUUAAUAGAAUUCCGCCGUUAAUUCAACCUUUAAAUGACUCUACUCAGUUGAUUUUUAUUUGCUUCAGGUAUACAUAAUGAAAGCAGUUUCCUUUGCAUCUUUGCUGAGGACAGGUAUAGUGGUACCCUGGAGACACUGUAACAACCCCCUUCAGUAUGCAUGUGCGUAUAUAUAAUUAUAUACAAAUAAUCAUGCAUCCACACACACAUUUGUAAUGCGACACUGCAUGUGACGGUUAAAUCCAUCAUCAUUCAUCAUUGGCAGCACUUGUUCCUCUGACUUGGCCUUGAUUACGUAAACAGCUUGAUUUGCCUCAGAACCUACAGAGAACUCCUCUAGACGUCAGCAGCCAAUGUGCCUCGAACGGAACCCUUCUUACGCAUCGCUUCCAGCUCCUUUUGAGUCUCAUCCUCCAUCCUCCUGAUGUCUUCCAUAGUCAGAUCGAUCCACUUGUCAAUCCAACAGAACAGCUGGCGAUGGAAGUUGGUAAAUAUCCUUUUUUCUUGCUUCUGUAUAAGGUUUUCCACUUUGUUCUGCAGUCCCCACCAUUUAAAUUUAAUCGUCACCAACUUGUAAGCACACAUCUUAGGGCACUCUUCAUCAGUUGCUAGCUCUUUCUUCCAGUUUGGCCCCAAAGGUCCUCUCUUAGUCUUAACUGACUGGAAUAACGCAGGGUCUUCAUCAGCUUUGUAGUCUCCUGGUUCUACUUGAGUUCUAUCUGCAAUGUCAAUAUGGACAACUUCAACACUCUUCCACGUGUUCGGAUCUAAAUUGUGCACGUUCUCUGAUGUCCCCAGAUCGGGUUUGUGCCAGGUCUCGAUUUUUAUGAAGAAGUCAUCUUUCAUGUACUCAUUCGUCACAAUUGUUCUACAGUAUGGAUAUGCAUUCCAGGCCUUCUCGUGGAACACCAGGGAGCCUUCUGGAGCAAUCAUUCUUACAAAACCAGGAACUUUACUCUUUAAAUGAUAGAUUUUGUGAGUAUAUUGUCCCUUCUCAUCGUCUUUUUCGUAAGGCUCGUUUAUUAAGACUUGAAUUCCUUCACCGCCUCCUGUUUCAUUUUUGCUAGCUUCUGCCACCGAAUAAAGUUGACCAACUUGAUACUCUUGCACCGAACAUGGCAAAACAACUCGGAAUUCCUUGAUCAGCACCAUCUUCCCCGCACCGUCCCG